CAGUAGCCACGGUAAUACGGAGGGGGCUAGCGUUGUUCGGAAUUACUGGGCGUAAAGCGCACGUAGGCGGCUUUGUAAGUUAGAGGUGAAAGCCCGGGGCUCAACUCCGGAAUUGCCUUUAAGACUGCAGAGCAAGCAGGUGAGAGAGGUGAGUGGAAUUCCGAGUGUAGAGGUGAAAUUCGUAGAUAUUCGGAAGAACACCAGUGGCGAAGGCGGCUCACUGGCUCAUACUGGACGCUGAGGUGCGAAAGCGUGGGGAGCAAACAGGAUUAGAUACCCCAGUAGUCCCUGUCUCUUAUAC
rnacentral:rRNA from 1 species